AUCCCAGAUUAGCUGAGUUUUCGUGCUUAUCUGAUUCAUAGGAGGCCAAAAACGAACUGGAAGUUUCGCUGAUAAAUGCCUUAUUAAUUAUUAUACAAAGGUGUUUACUAGUAACUCCGCCAUACAUUA